rnacentral:tRNA from 1 species
GAGAGAGGCCCGACGGCAGUAAGGAUUGCUAAUCCUCCACCCCCACGGAUAAACCCCGUGGCUCACUCGC